ACGUAGGGUGCGAGCGUUAAUCGGAAUUACUGGGCGUAAAGCGUGCGCAGGCGGUUUUGUAAGACAGACGUGAAAUCCCCGGGCUUAACCUGGGAACUGCGUUUGUGACUGCAAGGCUAGAGUAUGGCAGAGGGGGGGUAGAAUUCCACGUGUAGCAGUGAAAUGCGUAGAGAUGUGGAGGAAUACCGAUGGCGAAGGCAGCCCCCUGGGUCAAUACUGACGCUCAUGCACGAAAGCGUGGGGAGCAAACAGGAUUAGAUACCCUGGUAGUCCACGCCCUAAACGAUGUCAACUAGGUGUUGGGGGAGGAGACUUCCUUAGUACCGCAGCUAACGCGUGAAGUUGACCGCCUGGGGAGUACGGCCGCAAGGUUG
rnacentral:rRNA from 1 species